CAUGCCUAACACAUGCAAGUCGAACGGAACUUCUUUAAUUGAUUCUUCGGAAUGAUUUUGAUUAAGUUUAGUGGCGGACGGGUGAGUAACGCGUGAGUAACCUGCCUCUGAGAGGGGAAUAACAUUCUGAAAAGAAUGCUAAUACCGCAUAACAUAUAUUUAUCGCAUGGUAGAUAUAUCAAAGAUUUAUCGCUCAGAGAUGGACUCGCGUCCGAUUAGUUAGUUGGUGAGGUAACGGCUCACCAAGACCGCGAUCGGUAGCCGGACUGAGAGGAUAAACGGCCACAUUGGGACUGAGACACGGCCCAGACUCCUACGGGAGGCAGCAGUGGGGGAUAUUGCGCAAUGGGGGAAACCCUGACGCAGCAACGCCGCGUGAAGGAUGAAGGUCUUCGGAUUGUAAACUUCUUUUAUUAAGGACGAAGAAAGUGACGGUACUUAAUGAAUAAGCUCCGGCUAACUACGUGCCAGCCGCCGCCGUAA
rnacentral:rRNA from 1 species